AUUGAACGCUGGCGGCAGGCUUAACACAUGCAAGUCGAACGAGUGGCGGACGGGUGAGUAAUGUCUGGGAAACUGCCUGAUGGAGGGGGAUAACUACUGGAAACGGUAGCUAAUACCGCAUACCAUCGGAUGUGCCCAGAUGGGAUUAGCUAGUAGGUGGGGUAAAGGCUCACCUAGGCGACGAUCCCUAGCUGGUCUGAGAGGAUGACCAGCAACACUGGAACUGAGAUACGGUCCAGAGUCACACAGAAGGCAGCAGGGGGGAAAAUUGCACAAUGGGCGCAAGCCUGAUGCAGCCAUGCCGCGUGUAUGAAGAAGGCCUGCGGGUUGUAAAGUACUUUCAGCGGGAAGGCGUUACCCGCAGAAGAAGCACCGGCUAACACCGUGCCAGCAGCCGCGGUAAUUC
rnacentral:rRNA from 1 species